AACGAACGCUGGCGGCGUGCCUAACACAUGCAAGUCGUGCGAGAAAGUUCCUUCGGGAGCGAGUAAAGCGGCGCACGGGUGAGUAACACGUAGGUAACCUGCCCCCCAGUCUGGAACAACUAGAGGAAACUCUAGCUAAUGCCGGAUGAGACCACGAUCCCCUUCGGGGGGUUGCGGCCAAAGAUGGCCUCUACUUGUAAGCUAUCGCUGAGGGAUGGGCCUGCGGGCCAUUAGCUUGUUGGUGAGGUAACGGCUCACCAAGGCUGUGAUGGCUAGCUGGUCUGAGAGGAUGACCAGCCACACUGGGACUGAGACACGGCCCAGACUCCACGGGA
rnacentral:rRNA from 1 species